UGAGCAAUCUGCCCUUCACAUCGGAAUAACCAUUGGAAACGAUGGCUAAUACCGAAUACGACUUCGGACCGCAUGGUCUGAAGUGGAAAGCUCCGGCGGUGAAGGAUGAGCUCGCGGCCUAUCAGCUUGUUGGUGAGGUAAUAGCUCACCAAGGCGAUGACGGGUAGCCGGCCUGAGAGGGUGACCGGCCACACUGGGGCUGAGACACGGCCCAGACCUCUACGGGAGG
rnacentral:rRNA from 1 species